rnacentral:rRNA from 1 species
UACGGGGGGGGCAAGCGUUGUUCGGAAUUACUGGGCGUAAAGGGUUCGUAGGUGGCCUACUAAGUCAUACGUGAAAUCCCUCAGCUUAACUGGGGAACUGCGUCUGAGACUGGAAGGCUUGAGUGCAGGAGAGGAACGCGGAAUUCCAGGUGUAGCGGUGAAAUGCGUAGAUAUCUGGAGGAACACCGGUGGCGAAGGCGGCGUUCUGGACUGCAACUGACACUGAGGAACGAAAGCCAGGGGAGCAAACAGG